GAAAUGCGAUACGUAAUGUGAAUUGCAGAAUUCAGUGAAUCAUCGAAUCUUUGAACGCAAAUUGCGCUUCGGGGCUUACAUACCGGAGCAUGCCUCUUUGAGUAUUGGUUCUACCUUUCUCCCUUGCGUGCUUUGCGGCACGCCAAGGCCUGAGAAGACAGUGGGCGUCUCGCUGGCAACAGCGCGUCGCUUCAAGUGGACGGCACGGCUCUUUGUGCUGCUGCGUGCGUUGGAAAGAUAGGUCACUUGCUGACUUUCUGCCUUAAACGGCUAUUUUUCCCUCGCUGCUGCGGCCGCCCUUUGCAAAAAGGGCGAGAGACAGUCUCCGAGAGGUCGAUCGGGCGCCACUCAGGCGUUCGGCGGCCACUCAACAUACCUUUACAAAAUCUAAUCUCAAAUGAGGUAAGAGGACCCCCUGAAUUUAA
rnacentral:misc_RNA from 1 species